UAAUACGGAGGGUGCAAGCGUUACUCGGAAUCACUGGGCGUAAAGGACGCGUAGGCUGGAUGCCAAGUCUGAUGUGAAAUCCUAUGGCUUAACCAUAGAACUGCAUUGGAAACUGGUAACCUAGAGUAUGGGAGGGGGAGAUGGAAUUAGUAGUGUAGGGGUAAAAUCCGUAGAUAUUACUAGGAAUACCGAAAGCGAAGGCGAUCUCCUGGAACAAUACUGACGCUAAGGCGUGAAAGCGUGGGGAGCAAACGGGAUUAGAUACCCCGGUAGUCCACGCCCUAAACGAUGAACACUAGUCGUCGGGAUGCUUGUCAUCUCGGUGAUGCACUUAACAGAUUAAGUGUUCCGCCUGGGGAGUACGGUCGCAAGAUUA
rnacentral:rRNA from 1 species